UGGCCAGACUCCUACGGGAGGCAGCAGUGAGGAAUAUUGGUCAAUGGCCGAGAGGCUGAACCAGCCAAGUCGCGUGAGGGAUGACGGCCCUACGGGUUGUAAACCUCUUUUGUCGGGGAGCAAAGAGAGUCACGUGUGGCUCAUUGAGAGUACCCGAAGAAAAAGCAUCGGCUAACUCCGUGCCAGCAGCCGCGGUAAUACGGAGGAUGCGAGCGUUAUCCGGAUUUAUUGGGUUUAAAGGGUGCGUAGGCGGGACGGUAAGUCAGCGGUAAAAAUGCGGAGCUCAACUCCGUCGAGCCGUUGAAACUGGCUGUCUUGAGAUGUCGAGAGGUAUGCGGAAUGCGCAGUGUAGCGGUGAAAUGCUUAGAUAUUGCGCAGAACUCCGAUUGCGAAGGCAGCAUACCGGCGGCGAUCUGACGCUGAGGCACGAAAGCGUGGGUAUCGAACAGGAUUAGAUACCCCAGUA
rnacentral:rRNA from 1 species